rnacentral:ncRNA from 1 species
GGUGUUUGUGUUGAGCUUGCUGUUGAGCAAGCAUUAAGAGGUGGAGAAAGCGACAGCAGGACGGUGGCCAUGGAAGUCGGAAUCCGCUAAGGAGUGUGUAACAACUCACCUGCCGAAUCAGCUAGCCCUGAAAAUGGAUGGCGCUGGAGCGUCGGGCCCAUACC